rnacentral:rRNA from 1 species
UACGUAGGUGGCAAGCGUUGUCCGGAAUUAUUGGGCGUAAAGCGCGCGCAGGCGGUCCUUUAAGUCUGAUGUGAAAGCCCACGGCUCAACCGUGGAGGGUCAUUGGAAACUGGGGGACUUGAGUACAGAAGAGGAAAGCGGAAUUCCACGUGUAGCGGUGAAAUGCGUAGAGAUGUGGAGGAACACCAGUGGCGAAGGCGGCUUUCUGGUCUGUAACUGACACUGAGGCGCGACAGCGUGGGGAGCAAACAGG